CAGCCGCCGCGGGAAUACAGAGGGUGCGAGCGUUAAUCGGAUUUACUGGGCGUAAAGCGUGCGUAGGCGGCUUUUUAAGUCGGAUGUGAAAUCCCUGAGCUUAACUUAGGAAUUGCAUUCGAUACUGGGAAGCUAGAGUAUGGGAGAGGAUGGUAGAAUUCCAGGUGUAGCGGUGAAAUGCGUAGAGAUCUGGAGGAAUACCGAUGGCGAAGGCAGCCAUCUGGCCUAAUACUGACGCUGAGGUACGAAAGCAUGGGGAGCAAACAGGAUUAGAUACCCCGGUAGUCCCUGUCUUUAUACA
rnacentral:rRNA from 1 species